GGACUACUCGGGUAUCUAAUCCUGUUUGCUCCCCACGCUUUCGUACCUCAGCGUCAGUGCAGGCCCAGGUGGUUGCCUUCGCCAUCGGUGUUCUUCCGGAUAUCUACGCAUUUCACCGCUACACCCGGAGUUCCGCCACCCUCUACCGCACUCUAGUUCACCAGUAUCGACUGCAGUUCCCAGGUUAAGCCCAGGGAUUUCACAACCGACUUAAUGAACCGCCUACGCACGCUUUACGCCCAGUAAAUCCGAUUAACGCUUGCACCCUCUGUAUUACCGCGGCUGCUGGCAC
rnacentral:rRNA from 2 species